CAAAAGCCUUAAAACCAAGUCGGACUAGCAACAUCGAUCUCCUCUAUGUUUCCUCUACAUUUACUUCCAAUUUCUUUACAAUUUUUUCGGUGCUUCCACACGUAACUUUUGAAACCCGUUAGGAUUCUAUCCCCACACGGUCUCCCUCCACCGUGUAUCACCUUGGAUUCAACAUCAUCACCUGACAUUCUUUUGUGUCUAGACCUUAGGUCCCUUGUGAGCCUAGUCCUAAUCCCACCAAAACCGUUGUUGACGUCCAAGGAUAAUGACUCUAGUCCAACCUUGUCACAUGGCAUCAUGAUCAUAUUACUCAGUGAACCUAGUUUCAGUCCUUAUCAUUGACCAUGAUUGACAUCAAGUCACAUGUACAAA
rnacentral:lncRNA from 1 species